GUGAGCAGGUGCUGGUGAAAAAUGAAACCUAUUUGCAAAUCUUGUCCAAGAAAUUGAUGCUUUGAGGACAGAAAAUAGGAAGCUAAAAAAUGCGAACUCAAGGCUGCGUUAUAAAACUAAAGAUUGGGCAUUAAAGAAAGAAGAAUAUGAAAAUGAGAUUGAGAGGCUUUCUGGCGAGAUAUCUAAUUACUUAAAUGUCACCAAUUUCUGGUAUGAAGAGUCAGAGUUUUUGAAUGGCCCAGAUAAGAGAGCACCGAGGGAAUCGACCAAACAUGUGAGCACUCAGACAGAGGGCGCCCUUGGAUCGGAGAAAAAGUAACAGCUGUUCUUUCUAUUAAUUCAUUCGAUUGCAAUUCAUUAGAUAUAAACUCAUGUAAAUGUUGUGUUUUU